rnacentral:rRNA from 1 species
GAAGCCCUUCGGGGUGGAUUAGUGGCGAACGGGUGAGUAACACGUGGGCAAUCUGCCCUGCACUCUGGGACAAGCCCUGGAAACGGGGUCUAAUACCGGAUAUCACUCUUGCAGGCAUCUGUGAGGGUCGAAAGCUCCGGCGGUGCAGGAUGAGCCCGCGGCCUAUCAGCUUGUUGGUGAGGUAGUGGCUCACCAAGGCGACGACGGGUAGCCGGCCUGAGAGGGCGACCGGCCACACUGGGACUGAGACACGGCCCAGACUCCUACGGGAGGCAGCAGUGGGGAAUAUUGCACAAUGGGCGAAAGCCUGAUGCAGCGACGCCGCGUGAGGGAUGACGGCCUUCGGGUUGUAAACCUCUUUCAGCAGGGAAGAAGCGAAAGUGACGGUACCUGCAGAAGAAGCGCCGGCUAACUACGUGCCAGCAGCCGCGGUAAUACGUAGGGCGCAAGCGUUGUCCGGAAUUAUUGGGCGUAAAGAGCUCGUAGGCGGCUUGUCACGUCGGGUGUGAAAGCCCGGGGCUUAACCCCGGGUCUGCAUUCGAUACGGGCUAGCUAGAGUGUGGUAGGGGAGAUCGGAAUUCCUGGUGUAGCGGUGAAAUGCGCAGAUAUCAGGAGGAACACCGGUGGCGAAGGCGGAUCUCUGGGCCAUUACUGACGCUGAGGAGCGAAAGCGUGGGGAGCGAACAGGAUUAGAUACCCUGGUAGUCCACGCCGUAAACGGUGGGAACUAGGUGUUGGCGACAUUCCACGU